CAGAGGGGGCGAGCGUUGUUCGGAAUUACUGGGCGUAAAGGGCGCGUAGGCGGCCUGCUAAGUCGAACGUGAAAUCCCUGGGCUCAACCCAGGAACUGCGUCCGAUACUGGUUGGCUUGAAUCCGGGAGAGGGAUGUGGAAUUCCAGGUGUAGCGGUGAAAUGCGUAGAUAUCUGGAGGAACACCGGUGGCGAAGGCGACAUCCUGGACCGGCAUUGACGCUGAGGCGCGAAAGCCAGGGGAGCAAACGGGAUUAGAUACCCCGGUAGUCCUGGCCCUAAACGAUGAAUGCUUGGUGUGGUGGGUAUCGAUCCCUACCGUGCCGAAGCUAACGCAUUAAGCAUUCCGCCUGGGGAGUACGGUCGCAAGGCUG
rnacentral:rRNA from 1 species